rfam:Chlorocebus sabaeus isolate 1994-021 chromosome 14, whole genome shotgun sequence.
GGUAAAAGAACUUAGUGGUUAGGAGGGCUGGCUCUGGAGCCACUAUGCCUGGGCUCAAAUCCUAGUUUUGCCA